AGUGCGUAAUAGCUUACUAGCCGAGUACUUUUGUGCCGAAAAUUAGCGGGACUAAAGCUCAUUACCGAAACUAUGGAUCCUAAUCUUUUAGGAUGGUAGGGGAGCGUUCUAUGAUAGGUUGAAGCCUUACAAAAAUGAGAGGUGGACGAAAUAGAAGUGAGAAUGCCGGUAUAAGUAGCGAUAAUAUAAGUGAGAAUCUUAUUCGCCGAAAGCCUAAGGUUUCCUGGGGAAGGUAAAUCCGCCCAGGGUUAGCCGGGACCUAAGGCGNNNNNNNNNNAGGUUAAUAUUCCUGUGCUGCUAUUUAACGUUUGAGCUUGGGAGGACGUGGACACAACGAUUAGCAAACCCAGUAGACAUGGUUUGUUCAAGCUGGAGAUGCCGCUCUAGGAAAAUCCGGAGCAAUAAGGUGUCGAAAGCGAGUACGUUGGCUCUUGGCCUAGAAGUAAUCUGAGUGUCUUCCAAGAAAAGUCUCGUUAGCGAGUUAACAUGGCAACCGUACUAAAACUGACACAGGUAGGCAAGGAGAGAAUCCUAAGGCGCUCGAGAGAACCCUCGUUAAGGAAUUCGGCAAACAUACUCCGUAACUUCGGGAUAAGGAGUGCCUUUUUAACUUCGGUUAAAAAGGUCGCAGUGAAAAAGGUCCGGGCGA
rnacentral:rRNA from 1 species